rnacentral:rRNA from 1 species
CGGACGGGUGAGUAAUGUCUGGGAAACUGCCUGAUGGAGGGGGGUAACUACUGGAAACGGUAGCUAAUACCGCAUAACGUCGCAAGACCAAAGAGGGGGACCGUUGGGGCCUCUUGCCAUCGGAUGUGCCCAGAUGGGAUUAGCUAGUAGGUGGGGUAACGGCUCACCUAGGCGACGAUCCCUAGCUGGUCUGAGAGGAUGACCAGCCACACUGGAACUGAGACACGGUCCAG